rnacentral:rRNA from 1 species
AUCUUACUUUCGAAUACAUAGGGGUAAGAAGCGAACGCAGGGAACUGAAACAUCUAAGUACCUGCAGGAAAGGACAUCAACCGAGACUCCGUAAGUAGUGGCGAGCGAACGCGGACCAGGCCAGUGGCAAUGAUGAAUAAAGCGGAACGAUUUGGAAAAGUCGGCCAUAGAGGGUGAUAGCCCCUUACGCGUAGAACAGUCAUUGUCCUUGAGUAGGGCGGGGCACGUGAAAUCCUGUCUGAACAUGGGGAGACCACUCUCCAAGCCUAAGUACUCGUGCAUGACCGAUAGCGAACAAGUACCGUGAGGGAAAGGUGAAAAGCACCCCGACGAGGGGAGUGAAAUAGAACCUGAAACCGGAUGCCUACAAACAGUCGGAGCCCGCAAGGGUGACGGCGUACCUUUUGUAUAAUGGGUCAACGACUUAGUGUAACUAGCAAGCUUAAGCCGGUAGGUGUAGGCGCAGCGAAAGCGAGUCUGAAUAGGGCGAUUUAGUUAGUUGCAUUAGACCCGAAACCGAGUGAUCUAGCCAUGAGCAGGCUGAAGGUUGGGUAACACCAACUGGAGGGCCGAACCCGUAUCUGUUGCAAUAGAUUGGGAUGACUUGUGGCUAGGGGUGAAAGGCCAAUCAAACUCGGAAAUAGCUGGUUCUCCGCGAAAUCUAUUUAGGUAGAGCGUCGACCGAAUACCCUCGGGGGUAGAGCACUGGAUGGGCUAUGGGGACUCACCGUCUUACUGAUCCUAACCAAACUCCGAAUACCGAGGAGUACUAGUCGGCAGACACACGGCGGGUGCUAACGUCCGUCGUGAAAAGGGCAACAACCCUGACCUCCAGCUAAGGUCCCCAAGUCAUGGCUAAGUGGGAAAGGAUGUGAGGAUCCCAAAACAACCAGGAUGUUGGCUUAGAAGCAGCCAUCAUUUAAAGAAAGCGUAACAGCUCACUGGUCUAAAUAAGGGUCUUUGCGCCGAAAAUGUAACGGGGCUAAAGCCAUGCACCGAAGCUGAGGAUUUGCACUUUGUGCAAGUGGUAGCGGAGCGUUCCGUAAGUCUGUGAAGGCGGACCCGUGAGGGCUGCUGGAGAUAUCGGAAGUGCGAAUGUUGACAUGAGUAACGAUAAAGGGAGUGAGAGACUCCCUCGCCGAAAGACCAAGGGUUCCUGCUUAAAGUUAAUCUGAGCAGGGUUAGCCGGCCCCUAAGACGAGGCGGACACGCGUAGUCGAUGGGAACCACGUUAAUAUUCGUGGGCCUGGUGGUAGUGACGGAUCUCGUGUGUUGUACAUUCUUACUGGAUUGAAUGUGCGGCGAAGAGGUUCCAGGAAAUAGCUCCACCGUAUAGACCGUACCCGAAACCGACACAGGUGGUCAGGUAGAGUAUACCAAGGCGCUUGAGAGAACUAUGUUGAAGGAACUCGGCAAAUUGCACGCGUAACUUCGGAAGAAGCGUGACCCUUUUGUACGCAAGUAUGAUGGGGUGGCACAGACCAGGGGGUAGCGACUGUUUAUCAAAAACACAGGGCUCUGCGAAGUAGCAAUACGACGUAUAGGGUCUGACGCCUGCCCGGUGCUGGAAGGUUAAAGGGAGGGGUGCAAGCUCUGAACUGAAGCCCCAGUAAACGGCGGCCGUAACUAUAACGGUCCUAAGGUAGCGAAAUUCCUUGUCGGGUAAGUUCCGACCUGCACGAAUGGCGUAACGACUUCCCCGCUGUCUCCAACAUAGACUCAGUGAAAUUGAAUUCCCCGUGAAGAUGCGGGGUUCCUGCGGUCAGACGGAAAGACCCCGUGCACCUUUACUAUAGCUUUACACUGGCAUUCGCCAAGGCAUGUGUAGGAUAGGUGGUAGGCUUUGAAGCAUGGACGCCAGUUCGUGUGGAGCCAUCCUUGAAAUACCACCCUUAUCUUCGUGGAUGUCUAACCGCGGUCCGUUAUCCGGAUCCGGGACAGUGUAUGGUGGGUAGUUUGACUGGGGCGGUCGCCUCCGAAAGAGUAACGGAGGCGCGCGAUGGUGGGCUCAGACCGGUCGGAAAUCGGUCGUCGAGUGCAAUGGCAUAAGCCCGCCUGACUGCGAGACUGACAAGUCGAGCAGAGACGAAAGUCGGUCAUAGUGAUCCGGUGGUCCCGUGUGGAAGGGCCAUCGCUCAACGGAUAAAAGGUACGCCGGGGAUAACAGGCUGAUGACCCCCAAGAGUCCAUAUCGACGGGGUUGUUUGGCACCUCGAUGUCGACUCAUCGCAUCCU